GUCAAGAUUCGAAGACUCGCAGGUCUCCAAGGUGAGUUAUCAAAGGAUAUGAAGGCAUUUGGAAUAUAUCAAAAACAGUAACUUUUAGUCGGGCUCGCAGGCCCACAAUGUUGACGGACUUGCAAGUCCCUUUUAACUUAUUUUACAAGCAUUUCUCUAUUACAGUUCAUUACAUUUAUUGCAGUUGUAAUUUGUGUGCGGGUUAAACAGAGGCUCGUCGGCCUUUUGUCCGACUUACUGGUCGGGGUGACCCGACUCCCUGUGGGUUUGACGUUCAAUUCUCAUGUGUGCCCUCUCAUUGACUUGUGUAUCUACUUAGAUUGGGUUUAUGGUCUCUUGGCUUUCCUCUGGAGGGGGGAAGGGAAAGUUAGGGUUGGGGUAGGAAGGGGUGUGAGGGUAGUCAGUCGUCGCCUGUCGUCAGGUGUAUGUUCCCUAAGUCCUCCCAGUCUGUAGUGUGGCGGUUGGCGGUUCUAGUUCCCUUUGGAAUCCUUCUUUCGCCGUCUCUAGGAUCCAAUGUGUCCAUAUAUCCAUGUAGGCUGUCGGGGAGGUGUUAGUCGUCAGGGUCAGUUCCUCUAUUGUCCUCAGCUCCUCCAUUUGGUUAAACCAGGUCUUAAGUGGAGGUGUUAUGGCCUGUUUCCAGUAUUGGGGGAGCACUCGUUCGGCUACAUUGAGUAUUCGAAUAGUCAUAGAUUUUUUGUAUUUGGAGUGAGGGGUAGGAGUGUGAUGUAGGAGCAUUGCUGCUAGUUCCAGGGGGGGUGGUUUGUCCGUGAAUUUCUCUAGCAUUUUGUGGAUGUUUUGCCAGUAUGGUUUGAUCGUUGCGCAUUCCCACCAUAUGUGUGUGAUACUGCCCUCCUCUUGUUGGCAUCGCCAGCAUAGGCCUGGUUGGCCUGGGUCUAUCUGGUGUAGGAAGUGAGGUGUCCUGUACCAUUGUGUCAGAUGUUUGUAUGCUGUCUCUUGUGUUUUGCUGUGCGUGGAACAGUGGUGUGUGAGGUAACAUAUGGACUCCCAUUCCUUAUUUGUCAGCGUGUAUCCGAGGGCAUCCUCCCAUUUCCUCAUAAAUAGGGGUGUCUCUGUCGGGAUGUCCGUUUGUAGCAUGGUGUAAAGGAAAGAUACUCCAUGUGGGAGCGGGUCUGGGUGCAUACAGACCACUUCCAGUGUGGUAUGUUGUCUAGUGAGCGCUGAGCCCUGUGGUAGGGUAUGGACGAAGUUGGUUAGCUGGGUGUAUCUGAAGUGCUGCAUGAAGGUCGGGUGCGUCGCUGUCGUCAUGUCUGUCAGUUUUUUACAUUUCUCUCCCUGCAGGACAUGGUGUAGGCGUGGGUGUGGGUCUGGGAGGAUGUCUCUAAAGGCUCUUGGGUCUAAUCCCGGGGGGAAGUCGACGUUGUGCGUCAGAGGAAGAAGGGGGGAGGGGUAUGGUGACAUGGUCCCCUUCCUCGCUAUCCUCCUCCAUACUUUCAUGGUGUGUUUUGUGUAUAUGGACAUUUCACCCCAUUUUGUCGGUUCGCGCCCCCAGGGUAGUCCCGAGAGUGGUCUGCCUGCUUCCGCCUCUUCUACCGUCUUCCAGAGUUUGUGCACGCCGUCUUUUGACCACUCCACAAUUCUCUGGAGGUGUGUGGCCACAUAAUAUAAGUGGAGGUCUGGGAGGGCUAACCCUCCUUUAUCCUUAGGUCGUGUCAGGGUAGCGAAUUUCACUCUAGGUUUCCGUCCGUUCCAUACGUAUCUGGUCAUUUCUGUUCUAAGGGUACCGAAAAAGGGGCCCGGGAUCUCAAUGGGGAUGGCCUGGAGGAGGUAUAGGAGGCGUGGAAGGAAGUUCAUUUUUAUUACUUGGACUCUCCCUAGCCAUGAGAUGUGGGGGUACGACCAUUCUCGCAUGUCUUUUUGGAACGUCUGGAGUGUGUCUGUGAAAUUUUCCCUGAACAUGUCCUCACUUCGAUUGGUCAGCCAGACUCCUAAAUAUCUAAUUUUAUGUUCGGCCCAUUGCAAGGGGAAGCUUUGUCGGAGGGGGUUCGCCCGUGCAGUAGGGACGCUUACGUUAAGGAUAUAGGAUUUGCCGUAGUUAAUUUUCAAAUUGGAGAUUACCCCAUAUAGCUGUAGUUCCCUCUGUAUGUUUGGGAGGGAAAUUUCAGGGUUUGUUACCAUGAAGAGUAGGUCGUCUGCGUACGCAGCUACCUUGUGUUGCGUGUUGCCUGUUGUCAGUCCGGUUAUGUCUGGGUUGUGUCGGAUGUGUGUGAGGAAUGGUUCCAGGGCAAGGACGAACAGAAGUGGGGAGAGGGGGCAGCCUUGUCUCGUGCCGUUAUGUAUUGUGAAGGCAUCAGUUAACGCCCCGUUGACCAGCACCUGGGCCGUGGGUUCUCGGUACAAUGCCUCUAUCCAGCGUCGCAUUUGUGGCCCUAGUCCCGCAUGGGCGAGUGUUUCAAAAAGAUAUGUCCAGCCGACCCUAUCGAAGGCCUUCUCUGCGUCAGUUGACAGCAGGAUAAGGCCCCCUUUCGUGCCUCCUGUCCCGUGCAUGAGGGUGAGUGCCCUGAUGGUGUUGUCUCGGGCUUCUCGGCCUGUCACGAAUCCCACCUGGUCUGGGUGGAUCAGUGAUGGGAUGUGUUGCGUGAGUCGGGUCGCCAGGAUUUUGGCCAGUAGUUUAAUGUCGCUAUUUAUAAGUGAGAUCGGUCUAUAGUUUCCGCAUUGUUCUCUGUCUUUGCCGUCUUUGGGGAUAAUAGUAAUGUGGGCUGUUAGGGUUUGUCUGGGGAAAUGGUUUCCGUCUCGUAUCGAAUUGAACGCUUCUAUCAUGAGUGGAUAUAGGUCUGUAGCGUAUGUCUUGUAAUAUUUGGUCGGUAGGCCGUCGGGUCCCGGGCUUUUGCCUGGUUUGGUUUGUUUAACCGCUAGAGCUAGUUCCUCUAUUGUGAUGGGUUCGUCAAUGACCUCCGCUAUCUCCGCGUCAAGUGUCGGUGUCUGGUAUUUUGUCAAGUAGGCCCGGAUAGAGUCUCUGAGGUGUGUUGUCGCCCCGUUGGUCUUCGGUUGGGGGAGUGUGUAAAGAUCGGUGUAAUAUGUGCGGAAUGUUCUCAUGAUGUCUGUCGGGAGGCGGUGUAGGGUGCCCUGUUUAUCUCUAAUUUUAUCAAUAUAUGUGUGUUGCCUCUGCUUUUUCAGCAUCGCGGCUAGAAGUUUGCCGCUUUUGUUCCCGUGUACUGUGAAGAAGGCUUUGUGCCUUGUUGCGUCUCUGUGAUGUUUAGCCUGCAGUAGUGAGGCUAGUUCCCGUCUCAGUUGUAGGAGUCGGGUUUGGUGUGUGUGGUUCGGGGUUUGUUUAUUUUGAUUGUCUGUCUCCUGUAUCUUGGUCAGCAGUGCCUGUAGUCGGGCUUCAGUCUGUUUCUUCAGUAUUGCCCCCUGUUGUAUGUAGUGGCCUCGUAUCACGCUUUUGUGUGCUUCCCAUCGAAUCGUCGGGGAUGUUUGCUCUGCUGUGUUAGUCGUCAGGUAGUCCUUGAUUUUCUCACCUAUUAGGGUUGUGACCUCUAGUUUAGUGAGUAGGUAUUCGUUCAAUCUCCAUUUCGAGGUCGUGGGGCGGUAAAGUGGUGAUUUAAGUUUUAGUGAGACUGGGGCGUGGUCUGACCAUGUGGCCACUCCUAUUGUUACUUCAGACACUAGGGAGAGGUCAUAGUGUGUGGUGUAGAUGUGGUCUAUCCGGGAAUAAGAGUUGUGUGGGUGGGAGUAAAAGGUGUAGUUUCUUACGUCUGGGUGGUGGGCUCUCCAGCAGUCCACGAGUCGUCGACUCCGGAGUAGGGAUUUAACUGUUUGGAGUUGUUGAGUGGGGAUGUGGGAGGUGCCCGAUGAGUUGUCCCAUGAUGGGUCAAGAGUUAUGUUGAAGUCGCCCCCUAGUAUUAAAGUCCCUUCCGCGAAUUCUUGAAGUUUGCGAAGUGUCUGUUUGAGGAAGCGGUAGUGUUGUGUGUUUGGGGCAUAGAUGUUUGCGAAUGUGUACUGGUGUCCCACGAUCUUCCCUUUAAGGAAUAUGUAUCUUCCUUCGUCAUCCGUUUUGCAUCCCCCCUCCUGGAACGGCACCCUCUUGUGGAGGAGUAUUGCUGUCCCCCUGGCCUUACCCCCUUGAAAAUCGCUAUAGUAACCUUGUGUGUAGUGCUGAUUAGUCAGUUUGGGUCUAUUCCCUUUUUUAAAGUGGGUUUCCUGUAUCAUUACUAUAGAAGCCCGCUGUUUGUGAAAGUCUCUCAGUGCUCCUGUUCUCUUCUCUGGUUUAUUUAGGCCUUUUGCAUUGAUUGUAAGGAUGUGUAGGUGGUCUGGGGUCAGUGCCAUCCCGCCAAGUCAGGUCGUUGUCGUCGGGUGUUGUGGAAAUGACUUUGUCCUGCGUGCCUUUGGUGUGUGUAGUCUCAGGGGUCUCUCAGUCAGCUGUCAGUGUCGGGUUGGGGGAUCGGGUGUUGGGGUUUAGGUAAGGAUCAAGGGGUUGAGGUAUUGGAGUAGUCCGAGAGGUUCUCAGAGGUCUCCGUGGUUUGCGCCACAGUGCGUGGCGACUAGGUAGUAGCGUCGGGGAGCGACAGAGCCCGGCACCACCUGUGGUGUCCGUGCAACGCUCACCUUUCGGGUGACGCCUCGCCUACUGGGCGGUGGUUGGGUGUCCAGUCGCCUGGCGCAGUGUCCUUGUGGUGUAUCUCGUCUCGUGGCUUCCCUAUGUGGCUCCUCAGUGAUUACUCCGUAGGAGUUCGCGUGUGGUUCCCCGCCUCGGGGUGUGGUGGUUCUGGGGCUUGCGUGAAUGAGUGUUUAUGCACGUGUUCUUUUGGUUUGUGAUUGGGUUACAAACAUAAACAUUAACAGCGUUAUUAACAUUUUGGUUUCAGGUCACAACAGGUGAAAACUUAACAAUAUUCUAACAUUUCACAUUUCAAUUUUGUGUGCUGUUUACCUUUGUCCCCCUGCGUCCCAGGUUCCCACCCGCCCGCCUAUCUAGUGUGUUCUUGUGUCCCUUGUGUCUCAACGCCCUGUUCCCUACAUUAAUGGGGAGGUGUGGGUGUCCCUGUCUGGGGUGAGAGACUGAGGUUGUUCCCAUAGGCGUGGGUCUAGCUGGUGUGUUCUUGUCCCCCUAUCUCUGUGCCUUAUGGGGUGCGCCCGUCGUAUGGUUCCCUGGUGUGUUGAGCUUCCUCCCCCUGCUCUAGAGGUGUGUGACUGUUCGGCAGGUGGUUGUAGUUUGGUCAGCUUGGUGUUGUCGCUACCCAUUUGUCUCGGGUGUGGGGUCGGAGCCCCCACCCCGGGCGCGCCCCGACGGCGGAGCCGCCCGCCUGCUCCCCGUGGUUCAUUACAGCGCGGCUAGGCCCCGGCGGCCGGGCGCGGCCAGGGGGGCGGGCACCCCCCCUCCAAUCCCUCUCACUGUUGUGUUGGUACUAAGAGUUUUUUGGGUCCCUGAUACUUCCCCCCCCUCCCUAGUGUGAGUGCAUUUAGUCCAUGGGUGGCCUGGCAGGCCUGCGGGCACUGCAUGCUCAAGCAUCUGCGCCGAUCUUGCCGCUUGGGUCUCAGGAUUCAGUGUAUCUCUUUAUGUCUCUUGGCCUGUAUGUCCGUGUGGGGUCUUAGUGAGUGUGUUGCCCCUUGGGCUAUAUACUUGCGGUUUUGAGGGUUUCGGUAGUGCCAGUUCCAUGUGUUCUGGUCAGGGACGGGCAGUGUCUGUCCAGUUCAUUGCUGGGCCGUGUGGUUUCCUGGCAGGGUGGGCAGGUAGUGUGCGUCUUUCUACAUGUUGGUGCCCGUGGGGCGCGUUGUCUGUUGUCUCGUUCUUCUGGGUCUGGAGGUUUGUUGCGGCUGGCGUUGUACCUCCGGUGAGAAGGCGUAGAAAGCCAUUGGGUCUGGCCAGGACAUCUGUAUCGUUGGGAGUUGCAGUUCUCUCGUCAGGUCUUUCAGUUCUCCCUCGCUCUUCACCGUGAAGGGGCCAUUGCUUGUGGUGACCUGUAGUCCGGUGGGGAAAUUCCAUCUGUAUCUGAUCUUGUUAGUCUGCAAUGUCCGCGUGAGUGGGCGCAGGGCUCGUCGAUACGCCAGCGUUGCAGGGGAAAGGUCUGGAUACAGUUGGAUCUCAGCGUCAUUGUGGAUGAUUUGGCUCUGAGCCCUGGCGCUCUUCAGGAUAUCCUCCUUCACUUGAAAGUGCGUCAGACAGCAUAUUACGUCUCUAGGAGGGGAGUCAGGUGGGCCCCUGGGUCUGAGUGCUCUGUGCGCCCUUACAAAUUCGAUGGGCGCCGUGUUCGGCCUUUGCAGGAGGGCAUUAAAAAUUUCCGUGAGCGUGUCCCUUAAUGGGGUAGUUUGGUCGCAUUCUUCUGGAAGCCCCCGAACUCUGAUGUUCUGACGUCUCCCCCGAUUGUCUAAGUCCUCUAAAUGGAGGGCCAUUUGGCGCAAUUGUGUUUCCUGCCGCUUUAUGGUGCUCGUGGUGGCGUUUUGCGCCGACAUCACGUGGUCGCAAUCUGCCUCCACCUGGGCCAGUUUGUGAUGGAGCCCCUGCAUGUCUUCCCUCAGGGCCUGGAGCUCCCCAGUGAUAGAUUUGUGGAGGGCGGCAUUGGCCUCCUUCAGGUCAUUUUUUGUGGGUAGGUUGUUUAGCAGAGUUGCCCAGUCCAGCUGGGGUAGGGUAUUGUCAGGGGUGUUUGGUACCUGAUCGUGGUGUCCGUCCCUGGGUGAGGUCGGGCGGCCUGGGCCCAGGCUUGCUGUGUCACUCGAGGCCUGGGGAGUUUGGUCGGCCUGUGUUGUGAGGUACUGGCGCAUGCCGGCUGGCUGUGACCCUCUCGGCGUGCUGACGGCCGGUGCAGCCUGUUGGGGCUUGUUGGUUUUGCCCAUUAUCGCUAUUGUGGAGCUGGUUAGGCGGGUGUGUGAUCGGAGCCGGGCGGGAGCUCGUGGUUCACGCCGCCAUUUCGUCCGGCGCCCAAGCCACGCCCCCUGCUGGCUUUUUCUUGAACAAUAAAAACAUAUUUACUGUUUUGGUUUUGUUUUUUGCCAUGUAGAGGCUUUUCUUAUCUAUGGUGGCCUUUUUUUAUUUAUUUUUUUAUUUUUUUUAAAAGCAGUUUCUACUUGGAUGAGAUUUAUCUCUACAAAUAAACCUUUUUUUAUUUUUGAACUUUUUAACCAAAUGUAUUGUCUGUGAAAAGCUGAUUUGUUUCUUAUGCUUAUGCUUCUCAGCGUUUUGAACUGCAAAUUUAAAUGUGGGAUAAGAGCUUAUUGGUCCAUGGUAGGGUUGGACUGGCCAUUGGGCAAAUGCCCAUUUGGCCACGAUUUCCAUGGUCCGAGUCCGACAGGGGGGAUAAGAGGAUCUUCCCUUCCGGCCAAUGCAGAGCCAGCACUAUCCAAUUGUCAUCAAAAAAUGCGCAGGACNNNNNNNNNNNNNNNNNNNNNNNNNNNNNNNNNNNNNNNNNNNNNNNNNNNNNNNNNNNNNNNNNNNNNNNNNNNNNNNNNNNNNNNNNNNNNNNNNNNNCUGUGCUCUUGCAGUCAUCUUUACAGGACGACCACUCCUAUGGAGAGUAGCAGCAGUGCUGAACUUUCUUCAUUUAUAGACAAUUUGUCUUAACAUGGACUGAUGAACAGCAAGGCUUUUGGAGAUAUUUUUAUAACCCUUUCCAGCUUUAUGCAAGUCAACAAUUCUUAAUCGUAGGUCUUCUGAGAGCUCUUUUGUGCGAGGCAUCAUUCACAUCAGGCAAUGCUUCUUGUGAAAAGCAAACCUAGAACUGGUGUGUGUUUUUUAUAGGGCAGGGCAGCUGUAACCAACACCUCCAAUCUCAUCUCAUUGAUUGGACUCCAGUUGGCUGACAUCUCACUCCAAUUAGCUCUUGGAGAUGUAAUUAGUCUAGGGGUUCACAUACUUUUUCCACCUGCACUGUGAAUGUUUACAUGGUGUGUUCAAUAAAAACAUGGCAACAUUUCAUUCUUUGUCUUUAAGCAGACUGUGAUUGUCUAUUGUUGUGACUUAGAUGAUGAUGAGAUCACAUUUUUUGACCAAUUUGUGCAGAAAUCCAUAUCAUUCCAAAGGAUUCACAUACUUUUUCUUGCAACUGUAUAUAUAUUAUAUAUAUAAAUAUAUAUAUAUAAAAUAUCUCACAAAAGUGAGUACACACCUCAAAUCUUUGUAAAUAUUUUAGGUGUACUCAACUAAAGUGAGUACACCGGCAGGUGCUAUUCUUCUCCUGGUGCUUCAGCUGCCAGGAGCCAACGUUACUGCUGCCGUACUCACGUGUAUUGCAAGAAUACAUCAGAAAAGCCUAUAGAGGAUCCUGUGAGACCGCAGAAUCCUUCAGAGAGAGACAAUUUAUCUGCAGCCUUCACUGGGAUGGAUGGGGGAUCGGCACUUCUUAAUGGUGGUAGCUCUACCCAGUGUCAAGAUGUGUAAGGGGUAGGAAAAAUACUGAGACAAAAUAGUCCCUUACUUUGUCUCAGUAUAACUUUUGACUGUGCUAGAAUUUCUGUGAAAUUCCAACACAAUCAAUAUGAGUAUUUCCUAAAUAUUUUAUCUUUAUGAAAUACUAAUUUUGCCGGGGAGCUGACAGUGCCACUUUAAAACAGGUUGUUAUGGUACUUAAGAGUCAGAGGCGGGUCUAUAAUUAGGCGGCCGCCUAAGGCCUCAUGGCCCAGCACUACAGUCAGUCUGCAGCUCCGCCGGGCACAGAGCUGCAGACUGAACUGUCUUGUGAUCUCCAGUGUAUCAGAGCAUUGCCGCGGGUUACCACGGCAACGCUCUCAUACCUUUGGAGAUCGCAAGACUUACCAUGUGGUCUGCAGGUCUGCGCCCGGCGGGGCUGCAGACCAGAGAACCUGCCUGCCGGACCACCAGGGACCGAGACACUGGACCACCAGGGAAUAGUUAAAGGAAAAAAAAGGAUUUAUGAAACCCCCCCCACAACCUGUCACCCCCACAUCCACCCUCUCUCAGUCCCCACUACCCUACCCCACACAACCUGUCACUCCCCCCACACACACACACACCCUGUCACAUUAAUCUCUUCCAAUUCUGUCACACUCCCUCCUCCAGUCAUGUCACAACCGCCCUAUCAUUCUCACCCUCUUUCAUUCUGUCACAUACGCCUUCCCAACUCUUUCAUUUACCCCCUCACGAUGUCAAACUCACCCUGUCACACUCAUCAACUGAAGACAUUCAUCAUUCACACACAAACACACACUUAGUCAUGAAACGUAGCUGUGCCAUAACACAAUGCACAAAGGCCACAGGCAGCCCCCAUAAAAACAAUACACCGCAAGCAGCUACCUCACCCAUAGGUCCCAGACACAUGCUCACAAAGACAUACAUUCACACACAAGGAUACUUUCUGUCAGACACACACUUUCUUUUUUUUUGUGAAUAUAAUUUUUAUUUUUAUCGGUUAGUCAAGAUUCGAAGACUCGCAGGUCUCCAAGGUGAGUUAUCAAAGGAUAUGAAGGCAUUUGGAAUAUAUCAAAAACAGUAACUUUUAGUCGGGCUCGCAGGCCCACAAUGUUGACGGACUUGCAAGUCCCUUUUAACUUAUUUUACAAGCAUUUCUCUAUUACAGUUCAUUACAUUUAUUGCAGUUGUAAUUUGUGUGCG
rnacentral:lncRNA from 1 species